ACAUCAAAUAAUGAGUUUAAAAAUAAAUCUCGUUCUCUACACCCGUCCACCUCCGGAGCCUCCGGAUCCACCCGAUAGAGUCCCUCCUUCACAAUCCAAAUCUCCAUCAUCUACUUGCGAAGCCCCUCCAGUGCUGAUCCACCGCUUCUCAACCACCUCGAGCUUGCGUUUAAAGUUUCGGUGAUCUCUCUCGCCCAACAUCACAGAUCUAUUCACGAGACAGAGCAACUGUCAUCUCCGCAGUUUCACCAACCAGAUCUACGUCUCUCUCACCCCUACGGACAUAUGCUCUUUGAUGUCUCCGUCCCUCACCGGAAAGGUGUCUGUCCGAGACGAGCCCUCCGCCAGCUAUACAAGCUCAGGAAUCGGAAUAUCAACUAGAGUGUUACUUGUUAAACUCAGCCAUAAGGACGUUGCUUGCUUCUCUGCAAGAUAUUGGUGUGGAUGGGAGUGUAUUGUUGUGUAUACUAGCUGUUCUCAAGCCUCCCUCUCUCCAAUACACAGCAUUGCGAAAUCUUGAGGACUGGACUUUUGAUGUUGAUACAUUGGUAGUGGAAUAGUUUGUGGUUACAGGUUCGCUCAACCAUUACAGUUCGGAUGCAUUCCACCAUCUGGAUUCAGAUUACCGGGUUCACCUGGCCCAAAGUUUAGUUUCAGUGUCAGCUUACGGGGUUCACCUAACCCAAAUCCGGUCUCAAUCACAAGGAAAAGCCAUCGAAGCAAACAUAGUACCUUCUCGCCAUAAAGAUCGGGUCAGACAAGCAUCAAGAAGCCAUACAGACAGCAGUUUCGUAUCAUGUAUGACCAACUAGGCAUGGAACAAAAAUAAAUGGACAGCAGGAUUGGGAUGGGUCUUCUCGGAUCUAGAUCUGGAGACUCCAAUUCAUGGAUCUAUGGUUGUAAGUUUCAUCAGCUCAAACCUUAUUGCAGAAACCAACACCAUUCGAUCGGCACUUUGCAUGGCGCUAACUUUGGAGUUUUCCACACUUAAGAUUGGGUUUAAUCAAAGAAAACAAAUAUGGAAGUGGAUCACGUACGUUGAAAAGCAGAUUGGCGUGUGACUUGUGAUGACUGUAAAUAUGAACAGACAUCAUCAAAAACUACACCAGAGGAAACAUAUAUGGACGAAUAUUAGGCUCAUCCUAGUUACACUCUUCCUCUGCUUAAUUCUCCUAGCGAUUCAGCAUGUGCUGGAUGCGCUCAUGAAGAGUGUCUCUGAUAUGGCUGGUGACUGUAAAAGUAACCCU